GAUGAACGCUGGCGGCGUGCCUAAUACAUGCAAGUCGAGCGAAGCGGGGACGGGUGAGUAACACGUGGCUAACCUCAUAUAAGAAUGGGAUCACUUCGGGAACGCGGAGAUAAAACGGUUACUUAUAGAUGGAUCCGCGUUGCAUUAGCUAGUUGGUAAGGUAACGGCUUACCAAGGCAAAGAUUCAUAGCAGACCUGAGAGGGUGAUCGGCCACACUGGAACUGAGACACGGUCAAGACUCCUACGGGAGGCAGCAGUAGGGAAUCUUCCGCAAUGGGCGAAAGCCUGACGGAGCAACGCCGCGUGAGUGAUGAAGGUCUUCGGAUCGUAAAACUCUGUUAUUAGGGAAGCGGUACCUAAUCAGAAAGCCACGGCUAACUUCGUGCCAGCCGCCGCGGUAAUAC
rnacentral:rRNA from 1 species